rnacentral:rRNA from 1 species
ACGUAGGUGACUAGCGUUGUUCGGAUUUAUUGGGCGUAAAGGGUCCGCAGGGGGCCGGCUAAGUCUGAUGUGAAAUACCAAGGCUCAACCUUGGAACUGCAUUGGAAACUGGUUGGCUAGAGCAUCGGAGAGGAGAUUGGAAUUCCUGGUGUAGCGGUGGAAUGCGUAGAUAUCAGGAGGAACACCAAAGGCGAAGGCAGAUCUCUGGACGAUUGCUGACCCUCAGGGACGAAAGCAUGGGGAUCAAACAG